rnacentral:misc_RNA from 1 species
AAGAUCUCAGCUUCUUCAUAAGCUCCCACACGAAUUGCUUGAUUCACUGGUUAGACGAUUGGGUCUGUAGCUCAGUUGGUUAGAGCGCACCCCUGAUAAGGUGAGGUCGGCAGUUCGAAUCUGCCAGACCACCAAUUGUUGGUGUGCUGCGUGAUCGAAUCGGGCAUAGCUCAGCUGGAGAGCGCCUGCUUUGCACGCAGGAGGUCAGAGUCGAUCUCUNNNNCUCACAUCAACAUCGUCGAAGCUCAGAAAAUGAUGUUCGUGAAUGACAAUGAUUUCUGUCUUGCCCAGAACCUGUCUUAAAAUCGGUAUGUGUAAGAAGUAAGAUCGAAUGAUCUCUUUCACUGGUGAUCAUUCAAGUCAGGUAAAUUUGCGAGUUCAAAGCGCGAAUUUUCGGCGAAUGUCGUCUUCACAGUAUAACCAGAUUGCUUGGGUAUAUGGUCAAGUG